GCUCACGGACAUACCACUCUGAGAGUGCCUGAUGUCAUCCGAUUUGGCAAUCUAAGCAGGGUCGAGCCCAGUUAGUACUUGGAUGGGAGAUGGCCUGGGAAUAUUGGGUGAUGUAGGCU
rnacentral:rRNA from 1 species